rnacentral:rRNA from 1 species
CGCCUCUUGACAAACUAUAAGAGGUCUAGCCUGCCCAGUGACAUAGUUAAACGGCCGCGGUAUUCUGACCGUGCGAAGGUAGCAUAAUCACUUGUUCUUUAAAUAAGGACUAGUAUCAACGGCAUCACGAGGGUUACACUGUCUCCUCCCUCCAAUCAGUGAAACUGAUCUCCCCGUGAAGAAGCGGGGAUAAACCUAUAAGACGAGAAGACCCCAUGGAGCUUUAAACUCAACAACAACCUCCUACAUAAAGUCCUACGUAACCGCGGAAGUUCUGUUUGUUAGUUUUGGGUUGGGGUGACCGCGGAGAAAAACCAAACCUCCACGACGAACGGAAAUAACUCCUAAUCUAAGAGCUACUACUCUAAGAAUCAACAAAUUGACAUAAACUGAUCCGAUAAUCGAUCAACGAACCAAGUUACCCUGGGGAUAACAGCGCAAUCCAUUUCAAGAGCCCCUAUCGACAAAUGGGUUUACGACCUCGAUGUUGGAUCAGGGUAUCCCAGUGGUGCAGCCGCUACUAAAGGUUUGUUUGUUCAACAAUUAAAACCCUACGU